AGCCAUGUGAGCCUAUUAAAAAGGAAUUACUCCAAUCGUGGGCAAAUUCUUCAUCUUACGUGGCUAGAUAAUGCCCAGGUUUGCUUUCAUCCCUGCACUAUCGAUUGCACAGGUGACAAUGAGGCCUGGAAUAUCA
rnacentral:snoRNA from 1 species